UACGGAGAGUGCAAGCAUUAAUCGGAAUUAUUGGGCGUAAAGGGCGCGUAGGCGGCUGUAAAAGUCAGAUGUGAAAUUCCAAAGCUCAACUUUGGAGCUGCAUUUGAAACUCUAUAGCUCGAGGAUUGACGGAGAAAACGGAAUUCCACGUGUAGCGGUGAAAUGCGUAGAUAUGUGGAAGAACACCUGUGGCGAAAGCGGUUUUCUAGUUAAUACCUGACGCUGAGGCGCGAGAGCAAGGGGAGCAAACAGG
rnacentral:rRNA from 1 species